ensembl:lncRNA
AACCUGAACUUGUCUUACUCCUUAGUCAUUUCUAAUAUGUUUAUUCGACUUGGCUAAGACAUUAAAAAAUUAUUAAUAUCCAAAUAAUACUAGCAUCAGCAAACUCUGAAACCAUGCAGUCUAACUCCCUUAUUUUGUAAACUAAUUCUCUAUUCCACACAUGUUUACUGAGAAUCUGUUAUCAGAUGCACAGUGCUGAGGGUACGCAGUCUCCAAGCCCUUGAGCAGAUUGCAGUGUAAUGGAAGCAAACAACAGGAAUACAGAUCAUUUGGAGUCCUGGCACUUUGAGAGAGAUGACUGGUAGGGGGUUUAGUAGAACACAAAGAAAAUAACCAUGUGGUAUAGAUUUGGGGGGUCUAGGAGAAGGUUAUGUCUUUGCUGAAUUCUGGGAAGGACACAGAAGAAGAUAGCAACUCAGAAGGACUGGCAUUAAGGCCCCAGGGAAAAGGGGCUUGAAUUAAACAUCUAAGAACUAUACUGUCUGAAUUUGACCUCUCCUUCUUCCCAGUCCCACAAAGAGGAAGAGAGGAUGGUGGCAUUAGACACAUGCAGCCAGAACUCUGGGCCAGGGCUCUAGGAAUCUAGACAACCACAAGGACCAGAGAGCCUGCCUUCAGUCUGGAUCCAAGCAGAGACCUGGGAAAAAAAGACGUGGAGUCUUAGCAGCACGAAUUUCCUAAUCCAGCCCGUAAAGCUCAGGUUCCUACAGUUCUUCCUCCAGUUUUCUGAGGCACUCCCACGUCUCUCCCAGCUGGAUUCUUGGUUGACCCAGGGUGCACAGUGCUGGUGCCACCUCUGGGCAGGACCCGGGCAGGUCAGAGCUUCCUUGUUUAGGAGCCAGAUGUUUCCUGUGUAAAGAAACUUAUAUUGGAGGUAAGCACAGUUCUUUGAAAUUCUGUAAUCACAGAACUAUAUAAUUCUAUAGACCGAGACUGAUAAUGUAUAUACUGUGUACUUGUAAUCCCCUUUGCCCUCCCUCCUUCCCUCUCUCUCUCUCUCUCUCUCUCACACACACACACACACACACACACACCUUUCUCUCAUAGCUCUAUCAUUCUUGCACUUUGCUUUCUCUCAUCCUUCACCUGUCUAGAGUGACCAUCUUACUUUCAAUAGCCCAUCGUGAUAGUAUAUCUUAUGUAACUGUUAUUAAUCUAUAACCUGUAAUGGUUAUAUAUAAUCAUAAAAGGCAAUGCUAUCAUGAAUACUGCAGCCAUUAUUAGCUAGAACAAACCUGAGACACUGCUUGGCCUACUCUUGUUUGGCAAAUGGAUAAACUGAUCAUGUUUUAUGGCUAGAAGCCAAAAAGAAUUGAUCAAGGUCACAGAGUGGUGGUUCGGGGACAGAAGGCAGAAUGGCACUGAAAGGAUCCAUCAGCCUCUCUCCCAAGGAGAUUUUCGGCUUUUAACUUUUCAGCGAGCAAACUUUGGGAACAAGCGUAUUUUAAACUGUUCGAUUCAUUAUUUUCUCCUGAGCAAUGCUGUUUCUUCCUCUCACCCUUCUCCCUACCAUGCUUAGGUAUUCUAUUUCAUUCACUGAAAAGAGUGAAAAGACACUAAUAAAGCUUUUGUCCCUCAUCCAGAUAGCCCUCUGUGCACCAGUGCUGACAGAGUUUUGGAGGAACAAGGAAAAGUAGCUUUAUUUCGUUGCCAGGCAGAGAUGGAACAUCAGAGGCGAGUUCCUCUGAAACUGUGCCCGCCUCCCUGGGGAAUAGGGGGACGUCUUACAGGCAGGGUUCAUGGUCUGGGGUAAGCGAGCAGGAUCAAAGCAGUAAAGUUGUUGCCUUCUUUCUUCUGCAGAAUUUCCAAAUGGCCACAAGUGGCAUCAGACAGCUAGGUAACGGUCUGGUGGGCUCUUGGUUUAUGACCUUUCUGAAAUGAAGAAUGCUACAGGGGAGUGUGGGCAAAUAUAGCUGAUUUACUUCCUUGUAGAGCAGAAGCUAACACACAUUGUAAAGCAGCUACACUCCAAUUAAAAAAAAAAAAGAACGCCGGGUGAUUCGGUGGAGUAUAUGAUUCACACAGACUCAGAGAGUGAUUGUGGAAUUCUUUUGUGAAGGACAAGUCUAGGUACGUGUACUGUGAAUAAUAAAAGUUAAAGUAGAACUAGGGUUGCUUAACUCUUACAGGCCUGUUUUGCCAUUCACUCUUCCCUUUGUUUGUUGUUAGGAAAACCCCCUUUUUUAUUUCUCUUGUAACACAAUGACUCAUUUUAGUUGAAUAACGAGUGAGCUAUUUUAUAUUGACAAUCUCACUUGCCAAUCAUAGGCCUUUCUCUGUUCUCUUAUCAUUUCUAGUAUUUGUUUCAGACCAAUGCUUAUUAAUUUUGGAAAAGAUAUAUGAAAACUACUUUUGAUUGUUGUAAAGAAACUAAGGUAUAACCCAGCCGUCUUUGGAAUGACUGAUGCAUUUUCCCAGUCUUCAUGUAUACAGUUUUUAUUUGAAGAAUUGGAGCUAAGGCUGUAUAAACGGGUUCCUAUUUGCUUCCCGUCUCCCUUGUCAAGAGCAAGGUGGAGACUGAAGAAUCUGAGCCUGUUUCCCUAUGUGUGUGAAAUGUCCUACCAGGGACGGGGACAGGCGAGGGCUCUGUACCAAGCGCAGCGAGCGCGAAGGGCGGCUGACACAGCGCUUAGUCCCGCG